GUAGGUGGCAAGCGUUGUCCGGAAUUAUUGGGCGUAAAGCGCGCGCAGGCGGGUUCUUUAAGUCUGAUGUGAAAGCCCACGGGCUCAACCGUGGAGGGUCAUUGGAAACUGGAGAACUUGAGUACAGAAGAGGAAAGCGGAAUUCCACGUGUAGCGGUGAAAUGCGUAGAGAUGUGGAGGAACACCAGUGGCGAAGGCGGCUUUCUGGUCUGUAACUGACGCUGAGGCGCGAAAGCGUGGGGAGCAAACAGGAUUAGAUACCCUGGUAGCCCACGCCGUAAACGAUGAGUGCUAAGUGUUAGGGGGUUUCCGCCCCUUAGUGCUGCAGCUAACGCAUUAAGCACUCCGCCUGGGGAGUACGGCCGCAAGGCUG
rnacentral:rRNA from 1 species